ACUUUAUUUUCCUGUUUGUAUAUUUUCCCAAAGCUGACUGAGUUCGUAUAACACAUUAUACUCUCUGUGCGGACUUAAGGAAGUUGAAGGAGGCCAAAUCUCUUCAGGAAGCAUGGAAGUUAUUUAAAAACCUCUAUAAUAGAGGUUCAGAUAAAAUGUAUGCUACAGGUCAGUAAGCGGAUGAGGAAGCCUUAGAAAAUGCCAGUGUGUUUAAAUAGCAGUGUCAAGGAAUCCAUAAAAGGAGCACAGUCUGGAAGCCUGAACUCUGAUGUAAAAAGGAUAAGGUCUUUGAUGAUUCAGGUCAAUGGAAGAUGUAGAGCCUAUGAAGACCUCCCUGUGGAGCGACGUUGCCAUUGGUUUAGAUCUCAUCAUCACAAGUCGACACCUUUAUUGCUCUGGAGCUUUUUCACAGAUGUCAGCGACAUUGUUCUCUUUGCUCUUGUUUUAAACGACUGCACUGUAAAUAAAUAAAAGAAGCUGGAUUUUUAAAAAUAGAAAACCUGUUAAGCUAAGUUUGUGGAAAUUCUCAGUAAAUAGUGAAAUCUGCCACAUGCCCUCUAACUCCUGCACAUCAUCUGCAAGUGCCUUUUCAACCACGUCAAAAUGCUGACUUGUGACCGGAUGUCAAAAUAGAUGGGGCAGACAGAUGAGGGUUCCAUCUUUAGAUGUGCAUUUCCUUCGUUUCAUUACUUGCCGGCAGAGACUGAUAUUCUUUCAGUAUGGUUUUUGCCAAGAGAUAUUAUACAGAUAAAUCAGAGGGCUAUAUAACCAAUGGCUCUGUGGAAGCCUUACACCAGGAUCAUUUUUAGUUCAGCAGUGCAAAACCAAAUUUAAUUAAUAGGGCUGAGUUUUUAACCGACUUGCCUUUUAUAAGACUUAUUAAAAGAUAAAAGUGAUGUAUUGAGAGCCACUGCCUUUGAGUGUGUGCUGCAGCCUCAUUUGCAUAAUAAAGGGGGUUUGGCACAUGAGCUUCAUAGUAAUAAUAAAUGUGUAUUAAUGAAGACAAUUAUAGACACACGAAAAUGUAUGCCGCAUAAAGGGAAGAAUCUUGGUUAUUAAUGUUGACAAAUCCAAUACAGAUGGCAUUAUGUAUGUUAAUAUUAUUAUAAAUCCUUAUUGUUAUGCACGGAUGUAUAUUAAAGCUAUCAUUAUGAAUCAUAUUCUGUCAGCUCCCAUGAGAAAAGGAAAGUACAUGAUGGCAAUAUGUAAUGGCAAAAUGCUAUUGUCAUGUUUAUAUUGAUGUCAAGUUCAAAUUGAAAUUAGUUCUUAAAAGUUGUGACAGCCACAUGGUUAUCCAUUUGAGUAAUAAUUAACAUUCCACAUAAAUGACAGUAAUAAAUUAAUAUCGAGAUAAUUAGAUUAUGUAACUGUACUCAUGCUCUGAAGUCAUCUGAUGUCAAAAGGAAUUGAAAAGAAAUUUUGGGGAGGCUGUCACACCUGGGAAUGCACACUAGAUAUGCUGAAAUGUAUACUGGAAAUGUGAUUCUCAAAUCUCUCUAGAAUAAAGCACAAGUCAUCUUGGUUUGGCUUUUU